rnacentral:lncRNA from 1 species
UUUCAAACAUCUGUGUCUCUCUGUUCUGCCACACACACAGCUCUCUCUCAUUCCCCCUUAUUCCCCCAAACAACUCAAUCCCUCAAAACUCCCCUAAAUCUCUCAUCUUUCGUACCCAACCCUAAUUCCAGCCCCAAAUCUCUCAUACUCAACCCUAAAUCUCAUACCCAGACCCUAAUGUACGAGCCAGAGCAUAGAGAAACGCGAAGCAGAAGAAGUUGAAGAGAGAGAACGAAAAUCUAAGACCUUCUCCUCUUCCUUGGCACCUUAGGUCGUGCUGAUCGACAGCCCACUGGUCGUUUUCUUCAAUUUCAGUUUGGUUUCUUACAAAAGGUAUGAAAUUAUAGAAGAAAUAAGAACCCAUUGUCUGAGGGCUUAGCUUUAUUGGGUUUAUGGGGUUCUUAAUUUGCUUAAUUUGGUGAAUUCAAUGCUUUGCCCUUCGCCGUCUGAAAGAUCUUAAUUUUCUCUCCGUAAAUGUUUCCUUUUGAUUUUUACAUUGUAAUUUCUUGCAAUUAUCUUAUGUGCUUCCCUUUACAUUCACGUAAUGCAAUUUAUACUUUCGUGGUAGGAUUUUCCAUUUGAAAGGUGAUCUGUUUAAAGGUUUGGAUUUUGUUUUUAGAUUAUUGUUGCUUAAUUUGUGUUUAUAAGUUUGGUUAGAUCUGUUAUGUAUUUUUUGGCUGAAUGAGAAAGUUGUAUUUGAUAGGUUUUUCAUUAUAUACAUAAAAAAAAGUUUCAAGAGCGGAUAAAGCAUGAUUUGUUGAAUAUUAAAAGUUAAUUACACAAAUGAAGAGGUCUAGAGAUGAUGUUUACAUGAGUUCUCAACUUAAACGUCCCAUCGUCUCUUCUCGUGCUGAACUGUAAGUUUUCCUUCUAUCUCUAUUUGUCUAUUAGUAUUAUUAUUUAGUAUUUCUUUUCAUUAAUCUGCGGUUACAUGUUUUCCCUGUUAAUUAUGAAGAAAUAGAUAUGUUAGAAUUGAUAUUUUGCUCAGAAGUUUUCUAUUCAAUUAUUCCGGAAUAGCUCUAACAUUAAACCGAAUCUUGUUUAGCAGUUUGUUAGAAUUGUGAGCUUGAGUGUUUACUAGAUUACUGGUUUUAAUUUGUACUAUACAUUUAUUACCCUUGAUUUUGCGAUUAUCUCAAUAAUUUCACUAAUGGAAAAGAUUGAUUUUUCAUAAAGUUUUAUCCUUUCUUUUAUAUCUUUUGUUUUUGAUACGUAAGAAGUUUGUUCCUUCCAAAAAAAAAUUGUUAUGAGUUUAGUGAUAUAUUAGCUUGAAGCCAAAAUUAGGAUUUUCAAUAAGCUAUCUGCUAAUCUAUCUUCAUUGAAAGAAUAUAUUGAAUAUAAUAUUUUUACCGCUAGACAGAGUUUACUGGUAAUUAAUGUAUUAGAAUUGAUCCUUCUGAUAAUCGAUUUUAUCUCCGUAAUUUUAUUUUGGGAAAUGAAGCUCUGGGCAAGCCCAGAAUUUUGGUGGAGGCAGCACCCAAAAACUAACAACACAUGAUGCCUUAUCCUACCUGAAGGCCGUGAAAGACAUAUUUCAAGAUAAAAGGGAGAAAUAUGAUGAGUUUCUUGAAGUUAUGAAAGACAUACAUUCAUCUCACUUUUUGUUCAUUUCUUGUUAAUAGAAUUGAUACUGCUGGUGUUAUAGCAAGGGUGAAGGAAUUGUUUAAAGGGCAUCGGGAACUAAUUUUGGGUUUCAAUACCUUUUUGCCAAAGGGACUUGAAAUUCGAGAUGAGAAUGAACAAAAUUAAAAGGUUAAUAUUAUUAAUAAAUGAAUAAAAUAUUAUUAAGAGGGUAAUAAUAUUAGUGCGUGAAUAAAGUAUUAUUAGUUGAUUAAUAAUACUAAGGAGUAAGUAAAGUAUUAUUAAAGGAUGAGUGAAGAUACUAUUUACGUAACAGUAAUAUUUAUCUCCUAAGGUUUCUAACCUAUUGCUUUGAUAACAAAUUGUGACGCCCCCAAAUUCUCUAUAUUUCCUGUAGUAGAUUUGGUGCUCACGUAAAUAUUCCAUAAGACAAUAACUUCUAUAAAUCUUUCAUAGUAUUCCAUGACAAUUUAUAUCUAUAUAUGUACAUAUAUAUAUACAUACAUAGGUAAAUAUAUCAUCAUUUAUAAUUUCUAAUACCUUAUCUCCAACCUAAAACCUAUAGAUGAUUACAAAUGCUAACACAAACAUCAACAUACAAUAAUCAGUAAUCACUCAGUAUGUAUCUCAUUUAACAAAUGCUACUAAGAUUGUUACACCUCAAACAAAAAACAAUUUGCAAUAAAUAUGUUUAUUGGACAAACUUGGUGAUGUAAAAGAUCAAACCUAGUAUAAGGAUGAAGAAAAAUUGAGGGAUGCAAAGAAAAGGAGCGCAUUUUAAAACGCAAUUAUCUAAGUAAUUUUAAUGACCUUGAUAAUGAGGCUAAGAAACCAUAUAUAUUGUCAUACACCAACAAGGGCAACUCUAAGGAUCAUCAAGCUCCAACGCAUGUGUGGUGUUUGUCACACAGCAGUCAAGAACAUAUGCAACAUUAUAUACGGUUUUUUCGCCUCAUUAUCAAAGUUAUUAAAAUUGCGUAGAAAAUUGUGUUUUAAAGUGCGUUCCUUUUUUUUUUGCAUCCCUCAAUUUUUCUUAAUCCUUAUACAGGGUUGGAUAUUUUACAUCACCAAGUUUGUUCAGUAACAUAUUUAUUGCAAAUUGGUUUUUGGUUGGAGGUGUAGAGAUCUUAGUUGUAACAGUCUUUAGUGGGUCAAUAUCAAUUAAGUCUCAGCAUGGUCCUUUAUAUCAAUAUAUCCAUGCAUUCGAGCAUAACUCAUCAAAGCCUCCCAAGGGUAAAGUCUCGAUGUACUCGAAAGCGUCAUGUAGAUGACUCGACUUUCCAAGGACAUUUAUAACCCUUGAUGAAUUAUGCAUGGACAUAUUGAUUAAGAUGACCGUGCUAAGGCGUUUUUAAUUGAUUUUGACCCAUCGAAAUAAAAUGUUAUUAAAAUAUAAUAACAUUAGUAAAGGAAUAAAAUACUAAUACAUGAAUAAAAUUAAAAGUUUAAUAAUAUUAGUAAAUAAAUAAAAUAUUAUUAAGAGGGUAAUAAUAUUAGUGAGUGAAUAAAGUAUUAUUAGUUAAUUAAUAAUACUAAGGAGUAAAUAAAGUAUUAUUAAAGGAUGAGUGAAGAUAAUGUUUACGUAAUAGUAAUAUUUAUCUCCUAAGGUUUUUAACCUAUUGCUUUGAUAACAAAUUCUGAAGCCCCCAAAUUCUCUACAUUUCCUGUAGUAGAUUUGGUGCUCACGUAAAUUUGUGGCCCAGGGUUAUUGUCUCUUUGUAAUUAGAAUUAUAUAAUGGAAGAGUGCCAGAGUGCCACGUGUGGUAAAAAAAACGACGACAUAAUUAAGCCAACGGAUUAAGUAAUUAGAAACCCAUGCAUUAAUUAAAAGGACUAGGUUAAGAUAUUAAUUAGAUGAUUAAUUGUACUAAGUCAUACAAAUUUAUAAUUAUUUGCGUAAAAAUGAUGGAUAAUUUAAAAAGUUGAUAAUAUCUUUGCAGCUACUAGUAAUUAGUAGUAUGUUGUUACAAUAAUUUAGUAUGUUGCUACUAGUAAUUAGUAGUAAUUUAGUAUGUUGUAUAUAUUAUUAUAUACAUAUAGCCAUAUAUAUAUAUAUUUAUAUUGAAGUAAUUUAAAUAAAUUGGGUAAGUUAAAUUGAAUUUAAGAAUUGUUUUGGAGCAAAGGUUGAUUUUGGGUUUGGUUGGAAAAACUGCCCAACUGGAAUUUGUAUAUUUAAGGCAAAUUUGUGUUAUUUCUUCCUAGUACUAGAAUUCACAAAUGCCAAAUCCACUGUUCCAAUAAAAGGAUGACAUUUGGGUUUUAUGUUUUAACCACUUCAUGUUAAAAUUGAGUUUUACUUAUUUAUCUAAAAGAUAACAAUUGAUUCUCCUACUUGCUUGAAUGAUUUUGCAUAACAACUUAUUAUCUUAACCUUGGCGACAUAUUCGAAUUGAAUUGCAUUAGCCAAAUAAUUAUUAAAAAUAGUAUUAGCCCAUAUAUAAAGAACCCAGUAGCAACCCAUAUUAUAGACACAAAAGCAACCCAUAUUAAAAAUGGAUUUCAAUAUUCAAUACUAAAUGCAAGCCCACAUUGCUAUACAAAUUAUAGAAUCAACAAUUUUUAUCAAAAAAUCAAUUCUACUAGUUCAUGAUGAAGAGAUAAAUACCUCAGGAAAUAGUAUAGAGGAGAUGUAUCAGGAUCAAAAUAAGCCAUGGCUUACAUAUAUUCUACUAUUACCACAAUUUUAUUGAAUACAAUACCCACAUUAAUUUACCAAUACAGAACAUCUAUACAUCAAAAAAUACAAAUGGAAGCAAUAACACCGAAAGAUGUCAACAAAUGUAAAGAUAUAUGAAUUUUAGUAAAAUCCAUAUAAACAUAUAUCAAUCCCAAUCUGAAACAUUUGGGUUAAAAAUCACAUUGUAUUAACUUGGAAAAGUGAAAAGUGGGCUGAGUUUAUUCUUCAAACUGGGAACGAUAGAUAGAGAGAAUGAUAUUUAAAUUACUAGUAGCUGCAAAGAUGAAUCAACCAUUGGUAACAAGAAACAUGAGUUUGUAUGACUUCCUAAAUUAUCCUCAUUUUUACCCAAAUAAUUAUAAAUUUGUAUUACUUUGUACAAUUAAUCAUCUAAUUAAUAUCUUAACCUAGUCCUUUUAAUUAAUGCAUGAGUUUCUAAUUACUUAAUCCGUUGGCUUAAUUAUGUCGUAGUCUGCAAGUUUUUUUUACCACACGUGGCACUCUUCCAUUAUAUAAUACAAAGAGACAAUAACCCUGGGCCACAAAAUCACAGCACUCCCUCAAUUCCAUUAACAGAAAAUAUUAGCAGCUCAUUUCAUUCUUCUCAGUUCUGAUCAUUUUCUCUCUACUGCAAAAACAAGAAGAGACAACAAUAACCCUAUCUAUCUAUCACAGCACUCCAGAAAACAGAAAUAUAGUAUAGCAGCUCAUUUCAUAUUCUGAUCAUUCUCUCUCUAUCUAUCGGUCAAAGUAAACCCCAACCAUUUAAACCCAAAUGUGAUCAUUCUCUCUCUAUCUAAGUAAACCCCAACCAUUUUAACCCACCCAAAUGUGUAUAAUGCAUAAACAGACUCAUUUUACUGAUCAUUCUCUCUCUAUCUAUCGCUCCCAGCUUGAAGAAUAAACCCAACCCACUUUUCACUUUCCGAGUUAAUACAAGGUGAUUUUUAACCAAAUGUUUCUGAUUUUUAAUACAAUAUAAUGCUCUGUUUUUCUGUUGUGUUUAUAGAUUUGGGUUAAUCAGAUUGGGGUUGAUAUAUGUUUGUAUAAAUUUUUCUAAAAUUCAUAUAUCUUUACAUUUGUUGAAAUUUUUCAUUUUUGUUGGUGUUAUUGCUUCCAUUUGUAUUUUUUGAUGUAUAGAUGUUCUGUAUUGGUAAAUUAAUGUGGGUAUUGUAUUUAAUAAAAUUGUGGUAAUAGUAGAAUAUAUGUAAGCCAGCCAUGGGCUUAUUUUGAUCCUACAGGGAUACAUCUCCUCUAUACUAUUUCCCGAGGUAUUUAUCUCUUCAUCAAGAACUAGUUGAAUUGCUUUUUUGAUAAAAAUUUCAUGAAUUGCUUUUUUGAUAAAAAAUGCCGAUUAUAUAAUUUGUACAGCAAUGUGGGCUUGCAUUUAGUAUUGAAUAUUGAAAUCCAUAGGUUAAGAUAAAUCAUUCAAGCAAGUAGAGAUAAAUAAGGGGUUAGUAUUUAAUAUUAUAAUUUGACAUGUGUGCGCUGCUGACACUUUUACUUAUAUCUAGGUCAUUUGGUUCGGAGUAGGUUUAGGAAUUUGACUUUUUCUUCCUAGUUGUAAGGCUAUAUAUAUGUAGGCUAUUUUUAUUCAAUAAACUUCAAACACUUUUACUUAUAUUUAACAUUGUGGAGCAAAAAAGUCUAAUUUUAGGGAAAAAUUCAACCUAGCCUGGAACGUCCAUAUUGCACUAGUCCUGACCCAAUUAAUUUUUUAGAUAAAUUAUAAUGCCCUGGUUGCAUUAAUGUAAACUUACUAAUACAAAUAUGAACAAUAUAUAUAUAUAUAUAUAUAUAUAUAAUAAAAUUAAUGCUGGAAA